rnacentral:rRNA from 1 species
GAUGAACGCUAGCGGCAGGCUUAACACAUGCAAGUCGAGGGGUAUAGUUCUUCGGAACUAGAGACCGGCGCACGGGUGCGUAACGCGUAUGCAAUCUACCUUUUGCAGAGGGAUAGCCCAGAGAAAUUUGGAUUAAUACCUCAUAGUAUGUGAGAAUGGCAUCAUUUUCACAUUAAAGUCACAACGGCAAAAGAUGAGCAUGCGUCCCAUUAGCUUGUUGGUAAGGUAACGGCUUACCAAGGCUACGAUGGGUAGGGGUCCUGAGAGGGAGAUCCCCCACACUGGUACUGAGACACGGACCAGACUCCUACGGGAGGCAGCAGUGAGGAAUAUUGGACAAUGGGCGCAAGCCUGAUCCAGCCAUGCCGCGUGCAGGAUGACGGUCCUAUGGAUUGUAAACUGCUUUUGACAGGAAGAAACACUGGUUCGUGAACCAGCUUGACGGUACUGUAAGAAUAAGGAUCGGCUAACUCCGUGCCAGCAGCCG